rnacentral:rRNA from 1 species
ACACGCUGGCGGCGUGCCUAACACAUGCAAGUCGAACGGAGAUACAUUGUAGCAAUACGAUGUAUCUUAGUGGCGGACGGGUGAGUAACGCGUGAGCAACCUACCUUACAGAGGGGGAUAACACACCGAAAGGUGUGCUAAUACCGCAUGACAUGUGGGGAUGGCAUCAUCCUUACAUCAAAGAUUUUAUCGCUGUAAGAUGGGCUCGCGUCCGAUUAGAUAGUUGGCGGGGUAAUGGCCCACCAAGUCGACGAUCGGUAGCCGGACUGAGAGGUUGAACGGCCACAUUGGGACUGAGACACGGCCCAGACUCCUACGGGAGGCAGCAGUGGGGAAUAUUGCGCAAUGGGGGAAACCCUGACGCAGCAACGCCGCGUGAAGGAAGAAGGCCUUCGGGUUGUAAACUUUUGUCUUUGGUGACGAUAAUGACGGUAGCCAGAGAGGAAGCCACGGCUAACUACGUG